rnacentral:rRNA from 1 species
UUCCUACGGGAGGCAGCAGUGAGGAAUAUUGGUCAAUGGGCGGGAGCCUGAACCAGCCAAGUCGCGUGAGGGAUGACGGCCCUAUGGGUUGUAAACCUCUUUUGCCGGGGAGCAAAGUGCCGCACGUGUGCGGUUUGGAGAGUACCCGGAGAAAAAGCAUCGGCUAACUCCGUGCCAGCAGCCGCGGUAAUACGGAGGAUGCGAGCGUUAUCCGGAUUUAUUGGGUUUAAAGGGUGCGCAGGCGGCGAGUUAAGUCAGCGGUAAAAUUUCGGGGCUCAACCCCGACGAGCCGUUGAAACUGGCUU